rnacentral:rRNA from 1 species
UAGGGAAUCUUCGGCAAUGGACGAAAGUCUGACCGAGCAACGCCGCGUGAGUGAAGAAGGUUUUCGGAUCGUAAAACUCUGUUGUUAGAGAAGAACAAGGACGUUAGUAACUGAACGUCCCCUGACGGUAUCUAACCAGAAAGCCACGGCUAACUACGUGCCAGCAGCCGCGGUAAUACGUAGGUGGCAAGCGUUGUCCGGAUUUAUUGGGCGUAAAGCGAGCGCAGGCGGUUUCUUAAGUCUGAUGUGAAAGCCCCCGGCACAACCGGGGAGGGUCAUUGGAAACUGGGAGACUUGAGUGCAGAAGAGGAGAGUGGAAUUCCAUGUGUAGCGGUGAAAUGCGUAGAUAUAUGGGGGAACACCAGUGGCGAAGGCGGCUCUCUGGUCUGUAACUGACGCUGAGGCUCGAAAGCGUGGGGAGCAAACAGG